rnacentral:rRNA from 1 species
GAUGAACGCUGGCGGCGUGCUUCACACAUGCAAGUCGAACGGAAAGGCCGAAGCUUGCUUCGGUACUCGAGUGGCGAACGGGUGAGUAACACGUGGGUGAUCUGCCCUGUACUUCGGGAUAAGCUUGGGAAACUGGGUCUAAUACCGGAUAUGACGAUCUCUUGGAUGGGGUUGUGGAAAGCUUUUGCGGUAUGGGAUGAGCUCGCGGCCUAUCAGCUUGUUGGUGGGGUAAUGGCCUACCAAGGCGUCGACGGGUAGCCGGCCUGAGAGGGUGUACGGCCACAUUGGGACUGAGAUACGGCCCAGACUCCUACGGGAGGCAGCAGUGGGGAAUAUUGCACAAUGGGCGCAAGCCUGAUGCAGCGACGCCGCGUGGGGGAUGACGGCCUUCGGGUUGUAAACUCCUUUCGCAAUCGACGAAGCCUUUUGGUGACGGUAGGUUGAGAAGAAGCACCGGCUAACUACGUG